rnacentral:rRNA from 1 species
UCGGGAAUAUUGCGCAAUGGAGGAAACUCUGACGCAGUGACGCCGCGUAUAGGAAGAAGGUUUUCGGAUUGUAAACUAUUGUCAUUAGGGAAGAUACAAGACAGUACCUAAGGAGGAAGCUCCGGCUAACUACGUGCCAGCAGCCGCGGUAAUACGUAGGGAGCAAGCGUUAUCCGGAUUUAUUGGGUGUAAAGGGUGCGUAGACGGGAAAGCAAGUUAGUUGUGAAAUCCCUCGGCUUAACUGAGGAACUGCAACUAAAACUACUUUUCUUGAGUGUUGGAGAGGAAAGUGGAAUUCCUAGUGUAGCGGUGAAAUGCGUAGAUAUUAGGAGGAACACCGGUGGCGAAGGCGACUUUCUGGACAAUAACUGACGUUGAGGCACGAAAGUGUGGGGAGCAAACAGGAUUAGAUACCCUGGUAGUCCACACCGUAAACGAUGGAUACUAGGUGUAGGGAACAUUAAGUUUUCUGUGCCGUCGCAAACGCAAUAAGUAUCCCACCUGGGGAGUACGGCCGCAAGGUUGAAACUCAAAGGAAUUGACGGGGGCCCGCACAAGCAGUGGAGUAUGUGGUUUAAUUCGACGCAACGCGAAGAACCUUACCAGGGCUUGACAUACAGAUGAAUAUACUAGAGAUAGUAUAGCUCUUCGGAGCAUCUGUACAGGUGGUGCAUGGUUGUCGUCAGCUCGUGUCGUGAGAUGUUAGGUUAAGUCCUGCAACGAGCGCAACCCCUGUGAUUAGUUGCCAACAGGUAAAGCUGGGAACUCUAAUCAGACUGCCGGUGAUAAAUCGGAGGAAGGUGGGGAUGACGUCAAAUCAUCAUGCCCUUUAUGUCCUGGGCUACACACGUACUACAAUGGCUGUAACAGAGAGAAGCAAAACAGUGAUGUUGAGCAAAACUUUAAAAAGCAGUCUCAGUUCGGAUUGAAGGCUGAAAUUCGCCUUCAUGAAGCCGGAAUUGCUAGUAAUGGCAGGUCAGCAUACUGCCGUGAAUACGUUCCC